rnacentral:tRNA from 1 species
GCCCCAGUAGUUCAAUGGAUAGAACGAGGCUCUCCUAAAGCUUAGAUGCAGGUUCGAUUCCUGCCUGGGGUA